rnacentral:rRNA from 1 species
AACGAACGCUGGCGGCAUGCCUAACACAUGCAAGUCGAACGAGACCUUCGGGUCUAGUGGCGCACGGGUGCGUAACGCGUGGGAACCUGCCCUUAGGUUCGGAAUAACUCCCCGAAAGGGGUGCUAAUACCGGAUAAUGUCUUCGGACCAAAGAUUUAUCGCCUUUGGAUGGGCCCGCGUUGGAUUAGCUAGUUGGUAGGGUAAAAGCCUACCAAGGCGACGAUCCAUAGCUGGUCUGAGAGGAUGAUCAGCCACACUGGGACUGAGAUACGGCCCAGAAUCCUACGGGAGGCAGCAGUGGGGAAUAUUGGACAAUGGGCGAAAGCCUGAUCCAGCAAUGCCGCGUGAGUGAUGAAGGCCUUAGGGUUGUAAAGCCCUUUUACCCGGGAUGAUAAUGACAGUACCGGGAGAAUAAGCUCCGGCUAACUCCGUG